rnacentral:rRNA from 1 species
ACCAGCUGUAGAAUACGGCCUUCCCGCAAGGGACAGGAGUAUAGGCGCUGCAUGGCUGUCGUCAGCUCGUGCCGUGAGGUGUUGGGUUAAGUCCCGCAACGAGCGCAACCCUGCACGUAGUUGCCACUCGCAAGAGGGAACUCUACGUGGACUGCUCCGGAUAACGGAGAGGAAGGUGGGGAUGACGUCAAGUCCGCAUGGCCUUUAUGUCCAGGGCUACACACGUGUUACAAUGCAGGGCACAAACCGUUGCCAACCCGCGAGGGGGAGCUAAUCGGAAAAAACUCUGCUCAGUUCGGAUUGCAGUCUGCAACUCGACUGCAUGAAGCCGGAAUCGCUAGUAAUGGCGUAUCAGAUCGACGCCGUGAAUACGUUCCCGGGCCUUGUACACACCGCCCGUCACAUCACGAAAGUGAGCUGUACUAGAAGUCGCCGCGCUAACCGCAAGGAGGCAGGCGCCCAAGGUAUGACUCAUGAUUGGGGUGAAGUCGUAACAAGGUAAGCGUAGAUGA